GGUUUCACAAUUGUUCUAUUGAAACCAUUUGUAAGGUUUUGUCGACGAGAUUUUCCAUUUAUUUUAAACUUAGAAAAUGAUUUUUUUCCUUUCUAGUUGUUAUGGUAAUAUACAUCACAGGGCAUCACUAUAGACAUAAACCAUUAAGAGGACUGGAUGGCUGUGGCCAUUUAAAGACUUCAUUAAUCUCCUUAUAAGAAGAGCUUUGCAUAAUGAUCUAAGAAAUUAUUUAAAUUUGAAAUCUAAAAUAUUAUGAAUAUUCUUUCGUAAAUAAUAUCAUAUGGCCUCUGAGCCCAAAAUUGGAAAUAAACUAUUAUUAUUAUAUCAUUAUAUGGCCAAGAUAAUGGUGUCUAAAGGUUCGAAGUAAAUCUGACCGGGAAUUUGUUGAUCAUCCAGCCUCCUUAAUUUAUCAGACCGGUAUCUACAAGACUUGACUAAAAACAGUUGUCAGAAUUACAUAUGUAUUAUAUAUGACCAGAUUUAUUAGAUUGCUUACAUAUUAUAAUUCGUUACGUCCAUGAUAAGCAUUGAGCCUGAUUUAUACAUGAAACUGUUUGUUUUUACAUGUCAUUUCAACGUUAUAAUGAAUCCCUGUGGAAGCACUGGAGAGAUUGGUAUCUUGUUUUUAUUCCAUGCUGUGUUGUUAAUAGUGCUUUCGUGGAUGUAAAGGCAUUGAGAAAUAUAAGAAAAUCCAAUUCAUUUGUAGAUUUCUUUUACAUUAUCAACCUAAUUGUAUGAAUAAAGACUGAAACUAUU
rnacentral:sRNA from 1 species